rnacentral:misc_RNA from 1 species
UUUCCGUAGGUGAACCUGCGGAAGGAUCAUUCAUAAUAAAGUGUUUUAUGGCACUUUUUAAAAAUCCAUAUCCACCUUGUGUGCAAUGUUAGAUCUCGUCAAUCUCGGCGAGAUUUUUAUACAUCAACUCAUUCUUUAACUAAUUUGUCUGAAAAAUAUUAUGAAUACUUAAUUCAAAAUACAACUUUCAACAACGGAUCUCUUGGCUCUCGCAUCGAAGAAGAACGCAGC